AGCAUUUCUAUUUUUGAAAAUGUCGAUUUUAAGGCUGCGCAAAUGGAGAAAACCAAAUGUAGAAUUUGCGCAGCCUUAAAAUCUAUAUUUUCAAAAAUAGAAAUGUUAGUAGUUUU